rnacentral:lncRNA from 1 species
CCCUACCAGGCAGGGGGUUGGAGCUUCAUGAUCCUUGAGUUCCUUCCAACCCGGGUCAUUCUGUGAUUCUGUGAUUCUGUGAUUCUGUGAUUCUGUGAGUCACCUAGAAACUGGAGAGUGGUGAAGGACAUGCAUGUGAUUAAAACAACCUUGGCUGUUAAUAGUCUAAUUUCAGAAUCUGUGAGCAUGGUUUGUGCUACUUCUAUGUGGAGAAAUGCAAACAGAAAGUGAGAGAUGGAUCCUGAAAACAUGAACACAACAGGAGUACCAACAGGCAUUUUCAUCAAAGUUGGCUUACAUCUUCUUUACUGGUGGAUAGCUUUGGUUUUUGUCCGUGAUAUUCUCCAAACCUUGCAAUUCCUCUGCAUGCUUGAUGGGCAUAGAUUGGGAAAAUCUUUCUACAUGCAAAAUGGGUAUGGAUUGGGAAGCAUCUUUAAAAUAAGUGAUUUUAGCUCCAUGAAAGAUUAGUUUAGCUACAGGCCCCAGCAAAUGCAGAAGAGACGGGAAGAGGCUUGGACAGGUUGCAGUGUGUGCAUGGCUACCUGGAAUGUGACUGGUCUUUCAUGGCACUGUUGCUACUGCUGAAAAGCAGCACCCACCACCUCACUGUGCUCACAUCCACUAUUUGUUCUACUUAAACAUUCAACAAGAACCAGUAAAUGUCAGUGGGUACUAUUUUUUUUCCUCAAGGAAGAAAUCAACAACACCCCUAUGCUUCAAAUGCACUGCCACGUCUGAUGCUAUUUGGUUGGGCUGCCUUUCUGCUGCCAUGUGUCACAUGGCAACAAAAUGUAACAAAAUAAAAUAGAACAGAAGAAAAUGAUGGGAAGGUUC